rnacentral:lncRNA from 1 species
CUCGCACAUGGUAUUCAAGGCGCUUACUUAUUAUUUCCUAAACUCUUCAUUGCACCCAACUGCAGUGAAUUCAGGGCAGGAGACAAAACUCCUUCAGGGGUUAUUAACGGUUCGAGUGGAAAGAGUGAUCCCACUUGCCAAAAGUCACAAUGAAAAGGCGGAUUAGCCUGAUUCUGGAGGCCCGUCAGCUUGAUGCUCUUGGUUAAAUGACACCCGCUACGAACCACAGAGCGGAGCUUUGCGGGCAUGGCGUAACAAAGGGUGCCAUGUCCCUACCUGGGAUCUGAACUGGCGAACCCUGGGCCGCCGAAGCGGAACCUGUGUGCUUAACCGCUGCACCACCGGGCCAGGCCCCUUCUGGAAGUUCUUUGUGGAAG